UUGCAUAAAUAUUUCAAUACCAAAUUUAUUCAGACAUCACGAGAUUAAUAAAAGUUAUCUUUGGCCUCUACAAUUACAAGAGGUGCUCAAAGUGGUGGCCACUGGCUUCCAGACAUUUCUGUUGUGUUGUAGACGUCACUUGUUGAUGCUCCAUUCAUGAGGGUAGCGCCAUCUGUUGGGAAAACAUCGUACAACAGGACACAGAGUUAUCGUGAUUUGAUCAAACUUAGAAAGAGGAAUCUAUAUGUAUAGAAGUACUUAUACAAAUGAAAUAUUUAUAAAAGUUUUUCUUUUCCUGAUGUGUGUACAUUAUUUUGGCUGACUCUGAACUUAAUGAGAACAAAACUGUCAUUUAAUUGUUGCUCUGAAAGCUUCUUUAGUGAAAACCAGCUGGUGUUCUGCUUUGAAACAAACUGCUGUUGAGGUCUGUGUUUUUAGGUUUAACCCCACAGUUUCUGAAUGAACUGAUAGUUGUUUUUUUUCCUGAUCAAUGUGGACGUUAUAAUUGAUGGUAACAUUUACUGAUCAUAUAAUCAGCAUGACAAUAUAACAGUAUAACAUUCUGACCACCUGACUAAUACUGUGUUGGUCCCUUUAUGCUGCUAAAACUCCUCUGACCCAGUGGUUCAUCAGAACCUCUGGGGAUGUCCUGUGGAUUCUGUGGAUCCUGUGGGUUGCAGGGUGGGUCCUACCUAGACCAGGCUGAUCCUGGACCAUCCCACAGAUGCUCAAUCAGAUCUGGAUGUGGGGAGUGUGGAACCCAGAUGUUCAGAGGGAGAUGAUGCCACAUCUGGUCCAGCUGAUGGAAGGUCUUGAAGUUCUCUGACUGGCCUCGACUGAAGAUGGUCGUCUCACUGGAUUUAAGAUGCACAAUGAGGGACGUCUGCAGAGACUGAGAAAGAGUCUCACCACAUCCUGACAUGAGGAAAAAGACUUUAUUGAAGACUACAAUGAGAAAAACUAUCAGACAGCAGACGGCUGCAUUCAAGGUGAGCUCUGAACAUUUGAUCUGGAACAGGAAUUCAAUAACGGCAGCAUGAGCUUCAUUUCAGUCUGUAGCUGCUGAAUUCAUGGAUGAAUCAUCUGGCACUAGAGAAGAAGACCAUCAAACAUCCACGUCAGCUGAUGGAGGUCCAAGAGUCUCACCAAACAACCAACCUACAGAGUGAAGACCUCAAAUCUGAUUGGACGGCCUCCUAUUCAGCCACAUGUGUGAACAAAUGCCUCUAAGCUGAUUUGUUUUCUAAAAUAAAUCUAGUUUGAGUCCUAAUCUAUGCCUGUGUGUUUGCUUCUUUACACCGCUGUUAACAGUUUAGGCUGUUAGAUUGUUCCAGAUAAGACAAGUACAAGAUUCUUCAGAGCCGUUCUACCACGAGCCUGACAGGAAGAACUCCAACAGCUACUGAAUGUUCCUGUGGUUCCCUCAAGGCUACAGGAGGAGCCCUACGAGGACGAGCCGGUCCACCUGAUGGUGGCCAGUCGCUGCGGUUCAAAGCCAACACCGACUACGUGGACUUCUACUGGACCACACGGAGGCCUUCAAACCGGACCAACAAGUUCAGCGACUCCCCGACUCGUGGGUCUGAGGACGCCGCCGAGCCUCGGUCCAGCCGGCCUCCUGUCUGUGGGUGUUUGAGUGCUGAGAGGUUUGUGGAUGCAUGUGAACGUGUCUGUGUUGAAACAGCAGCUUUUGACUCAGUAACGCCAGGAAAAACCAAGAGCUCCUUUAUUUGUGACUUCCACUAAAAAAACUGAUGAAAAUAAGUUUGCCAGGGUUCUGACUGAUAACAGAUUAUUAAAUAAUGAAAAUAAUCGUUUAAAUAUUCCUUUAAACAAUCCUUUUAGGUCUACAUUUCCUUUACACUGACUUCUUGGUAUAUGUACAAGUAUUUUGGGUGGAAUAUACCAUUAAGCCCGAUGUUCAAGGGUUCUUCUGGGAAUAUACCAUUAAACCAACCUUUUAGGUAAAUGUUCCAGGAUGUUGGGUAGAAUAUACCAUCAGAUCAACCUUUUAGGUCUACAUUGGAAGAUUUUAGAGUAGAAUAUUACUCCAAACCAUCCUUUAGGUCUACAUUUAAGGUGGAAUACUCCUUUACACCAAGAUUUUUUGGUCUACAUUGAAGGAUUUUAGGUGGAAUAUUCCUUUGAACGAACUUUUUAAGUUUAUGUUCAAGGAUGUUGGGUGGAAUAUACCAUCAGACCAACCUCCAAGGUCUACAGUAGUGAAUUUUAGGUGGAAUAUACCAUUAAACUCACCUUUUAGGUCUACAUUGGAGGAUUUUAGGUGGAAUUUUCUUCCAAACCGUCUUUUAGUCUACAUUUAAGGAUGUUUAGGAUGGUAUAUUCUUCCGAACCAACUUCUCAGGUCUACAUUUCAGGUGGAAUAUUCCUCCAUACUAACUUUUUUGGUCUACAUUGAAGGAUUUUUUCUAAACCACCCUUUCGGGUCUAUAUUUGAGGUUUUAGGUGGAAUAUUCCUUUUAACCAGCCCCUCAGGUCUCUUUGAGGAUUUUGGAUGGAAUACUCGGUUAAACCAACAUUUUAGGUGCAUGUCCAAGGAUUUUUGGUGGAAUGUUCCUUUAAGGUGGAUGUUUGAGGACCUUGUAGGUGGAAUACUUCCUGAAACCAACCUUUUAGGUCAACAUUCAAAGAUUUAAGGUGGAAUAUUCCUUUAAACCAACCUAAAUUUCAUGUUUUGAUCAUUAUCAAGUGAGAAACCUCAAUCCAGACUCCUCAUAAUGACGUUUGAGAUUUAUGCUGCUGUUAUUUGUUUAGUCCAGACUAAAUGACAGAAAUCCACAACUGUAAUUUUAUUUCAGGACUCGGUUAUUAAAUGUCAAAACAAUCCAUGUGACUCUAAAAACUCAACAGCUGUACAAACUCUAAGAUUAAACUCUCCACAAGGAUCCAAAAUAAGUUGGACUUCUACAUGAGAGCUUUAAUUAUUCUUCAUCUACUUCCUGAAAAGUUUGGUCAAUAAAAAAGACAAAAACUAAUAUUUUCAGCUGAACUAAAGACAGACUGUGAUUUUUCUGCUCACAUGUUGUGUUGUUGUAAACUUACUCUUUUAAAUAAAUACCCAUCUAACCCCCUGGAAACCAGCGUUUGUCCUGUUUUUGUGUUGCUCCUCGGCGACCCUAGACAGCCGGGUCAUAAUGUUUUUUGAGCAACACACCAUACUAUGACGUUUUUACAAUGAUGGUUCUACUAUGGAACCAGUUUGACAUGUUCAGGUGUUCUUUGUGUGAAAACUCAGAGAUUUCAGGUAUCAGAAGGUGGUUUUCAACUUUCUUUGUUAACUUUGUGCCUCAACUUUAAACUAAAUUUCCUUCACUAAGCCAGCCCUCUGGCCUUCCAGUAAGCUGUGUUCCUAUUGGCUGUCCAGGUGGCUGCUUGGUGUUAUCAGGAACACCUGAGCAGCUCAGUGUCUUCCUGCUUUAUUUGGCUGCAGUGAAACAUUUCCUCUGCUUCUCUUCACCACAGAACCGGGUUUGGCUCUGUUGGUUUAGUUUGUUCUUUAGGCGUUGGCUUGCAGCUUCCAGCAGUAAAAUCGUCUUUAAUGUGUUUCUUGGUGUGUUUUAGGGCUUUGUACUGGAUAGUUGUCUUGGUAAAUGUGGUUCUUUAGCCACAGUUAGCACAUGGUGCUAAUGUGUGCAGUGAUUAGUGGAUUUGGUGCAGCUGAGUUGUGUCUUUAUCUUGGCUGUAGUGAGUCUUUAGAGGUUUUUGGUCAGACACAUUCUGUAUUCUUGUUUGUGAACCAACGUUGGUUGUCCAGAAGGUAAGAGUUCCUGUCCUGAUUCUCUGUUCUCAGAGGUUCUCUGGUAGGCUGCAGGAGACUUUAGCGUUUGGGUUGUGCUAGUUUGGUUUUUGUACGGUUUCAUUUGGACGACUAUCUUGAGGCCCCUCCAUGUGGUUUAGUGAGGUUUUCUGGAACAGUUCUACAAAGCAACCUGCAGCAGAAGAGACUUUGAGAGUUUUUAGGAAGUUCUGGAGACCAGACUUUAGAGCAGCAGAAACAUUUGUCAGCAGUUUGAGCAGGAGAAGGUGAGCUUCAGAGUAGAAAUGAGACGGAAACCUUCUUGACCCGUGUGGUGAGGUCCUGUACCAAGAGUUUGAGCAGGUUGUGAAGAGUCUGUAGUUCUUUGGUCUGAAAGCACAAGAAGAGUCGACUCAUUAAAGGAGAAAACAGGAGAUAUUGUUGGUUCUUCUGUCGCUCUGCAGUUUCCUUAGACUGAAUAUCAAGUUUAUAUUUUAAAUGAUUUCCCAUGUGAGCCCAAGAAGACUUCAAUAAACUCCCUCCAUCCCCUGGACACAACAUAUUUUAUUACCAUGUUAAAUCUUUUUUUUUUUAAAUGUUUUUGAGUUUUAAUCAUAGUUUUAGCAUAGUUUUUUUCUCUUUGCUUGUUUAGUUUUGUCAUCUGUGUAAAAGGUGCUAAACAAAUAAAGUUGAAUUGAUAAACUGAAUAA